rnacentral:rRNA from 2 species
GCAACGAGUGGCGGACGGGUGAGUAACACGUAGGUAACCUGCCCAGAAGCGGGGGACAACAUUUGGAAACAGAUGCUAAUACCGCAUAACAACGUUGUUCGCAUGAACAACGCUUAAAAGAUGGCUUCUCGCUAUCACUUCUGGAUGGACCUGCGGUGCAUUAGCUUGUUGGUGGGGUAAUGGCCUACCAAGGCGAUGAUGCAUAGCCGAGUUGAGAGACUGAUCGGCCACAAUGGGACUGAGACACGGCCCAUACUCCUACGGGAGGCAGCAGUAGGGAAUCUUCCACAAUGGGCGCAAGCCUGAUGGAGCAACACCGCGUGAGUGAAGAAGGGUUUCGGCUCGUAAAGCUCUGUUGUUAAAGAAGAACACGUAUGAGAGUAACUGUUCAUACGUUGACGGUAUUUAACCAGAAAGUCACGGCUAACUACGUGCCAGCAGCCGCGGUAAUACGUAGGUGGCAAGCGUUAUCCGGAUUUAUUGGGCGUAAAGAGAGUGCAGGCGGUUUUCUAAGUCUGAUGUGAAAGCCUUCGGCUUAACCGGAGAAGUGCAUCGGAAACUGGAUAACUUGAGUGCAGAAGAGGGUAGUGGAACUCCAUGUGUAGCGGUGGAAUGCGUAGAUAUAUGGAAGAACACCAGUGGCGAAGGCGGCUACCUGGUCUGCAACUGACGCUGAGACUCGAAAGCAUGGGUAGCGAACAGGAUUAGAUACCCUGGUAGUCCAUGCCGUAAACGAUGAGUGCUAGGUGUUGGAGGGUUUCCGCCCUUCAGUGCCGGAGCUAACGCAUUAAGCACUCCGCCUGGGGAGUACGACCGCAAGGUUGAAACUCAAAGGAAUUGACGGGGGCCCGCACAAGCGGUGGAGCAUGUGGUUUAAUUCGAAGCUACGCGAAGAACCUUACCAGGUCUUGACAUCUUGCGCCAACCCUAGAGAUAGGGCGUUUCCUUCGGGAACGCAAUGACAGGUGGUGCAUGGUCGUCGUCAG